rnacentral:rRNA from 1 species
GACGAACGCUGGCGGCGUGCCUAAUACAUGCAAGUAGAACGCACAGGAUGCACCGUAGUUUACUACACCGUAUUCUGUGAGCUGCGAACGGGUGAGUAACGCGUAGGUAACCUGCCUGGUAGCGGGGGAUAACUAUUGGAAACGAUAGCUAAUACCGCAUAAGAACAUUUACUGCAUGGUAGAUGUUUAAAAGGUGCAAAUGCAUCACUACCAGAUGGACCUGCGUUGUAUUAGCUAGUAGGUGAGGUAACGGCUCACCUAGGCGACGAUACAUAGCCGACCUGAGAGGGUGAUCGGCCACACUGGGACUGAGACACGGCCCAGACUCCUACGGGAGGCAGCAGUAGGGAAUCUUCGGCAAUGGGGGGAACCCUGACCGAGCAACGCCGCGUGAGUGAAGAAGGUUUUCGGAUCGUAAAGCUCUGUUGUUAAGGAAGAACGAGUGUGAGAAUGGAAAGUUCAUACUGGACG